AUUGAACGCUGGCGGCAGGCCUAACACAUGCAAGUCGGACGGUAGCACAGAGAGCUUGCUCUUGGGUGACGAGUGGCGGACGGGUGAGUAAUGUCUGGGGAUCUGCCCGAUAGAGGGGGAUAACCACUGGAAACGGUGGCUAAUACCGCAUAACGUCGCCAGACCACAGAGGGGGACCUUCGGGCCUCUCACUAUCAGAUCAACCCAGAUGGGAUUAGCUAGUAGGCGGGGUAAUGGCCCACCUAGGCGACGAUCCCUAGCUGGUCUGAGAGGAUGACCAGCCACACUGGAACUGAGACACGGUCCAGACUCCUACGGGAGGCAGCAGUGGGUAAUAUUGCACAAUGGGCGCAAGCCUGAUGCAGCCAUGCCGCGUGUAUGAAGAAGGCCUUCGGGUUGUAAAGUACUUUCAGCGGGGAGGAAGGCGGUGAGGUUAAUAACCUCGCCGAUUGACGUUACCCGCAGAAGAAGCACCGGCUAACUCCGUGCCAGCCGCCGCCGUAA
rnacentral:rRNA from 1 species